rnacentral:SRP_RNA from 1 species
GGAGGCUGGCGGCGGACGGUUCCCUCGCAAACCGGGUCAGGUCCGGAAGGAAGCAGCCCUAGCGAUCAGGAAACGGGUCGUUCGUCAGUCUCUCAU